AGGGAUGCGAGCCGGUGACGGCAAGNGAACCCCAAAAACACCGUCCCAGUUCGGACUGUAGUCUGCAACCCGACUACACGAAGCCGGAAUCGCUAGUAAUCGCGGAUCAGAAUGCCGCGGUGAAUACGUUCCCGGGUCUUGUACACACCGCCCGUCACACCAUGGGAGUCGGAAAUGCCCGAAGUCAGUGACCCAACCGGAAGGAAGGAGCUGCCGAAGGUGGAGCCGGUAACUGGGGUGAAGUCGUAACAAGGUAGC
rnacentral:rRNA from 1 species